CACACAUAUUUUUAUUCUCCAAUUCAGAGACGCAGAUCCUCAUCUCAGAAAGAAAGAAUGCAAUUGAUAGACACUGCAACGAACUACUCUUUGUGUAAACAGUGAACGACAGACAAUUGCGCAUAUCGCAUAAACAGCUGCGUUCCACUGAGAGUCGUUCACAUGCCGAUUGUGGCAAGAACUUGACUUUUUUUCAAAGGUAGAAAUGUCAAUAUUGUUUGGUUCCUAUUAUCAGUAGAAAGAGAACUAUGUGAGUGAGGAAGAGAUGUGCUAAGUGACACCAGUUCAGGUGCUGCUGUUCUGCAUUCAGCUUCGCAGAGCACAAACCGCUUUAAAGGUGUACAGACUACCCAGCAUUUGGUAGAGGUAGGGGUUGAGGGGGGCUUCAGACAGGAAUCGGCCUCAAGCAUCCAGAUCACUGUCUUUUGCUGACCACAGAGAGUCAGGACACCUGUUAAACGUCCCAUCCAAAAUACAGCACUGAACACUUCUAUUCACUGACCUGUGGAAUUGGGAUUUGAACUUCACAUCAAAGAGAAGAGUGCUUCUAUUGGUCUUCCAACACCAGUUUCAGCAAAAUGUGGUGUCCCAUCCAGGGACCGACCAGGACAGACCCUACCUUCAGAGGCAAGUCAGCAGUGGGAUGCAUCAGGCUGGUAUUCUGUUAGAACAUGAUCGUGUCCACAUUCUGUUUGCGUCUACAUUUUGUGACGUGUGUCGACGAUCAAAAGAUGCAUUGUGAUCUGAUUGUAAUCAGAUCUUAUACGUGCAAACCGGGUUAAUCUGGUCAAGAUUCGAAAAAUAUGUAGGCAAAGCACGCAUGUCAUCUUUAGGUUUAAGUAGUGCUAGAAAGAUGGUGAUGGAAUAAAUGGCUUUAUUAACGCUGACUGCCAAUUUCAAACAUUUUCCAGUAGGCUAUGAAUAUAUUUUUAUUACACACUUCAUUAGUUUUCAUAUCAGAUCUUUCUGAGUAAUCAUCUGAUUCGUGAAAAUAACAAUAUUUAAAAAAGUAUAUUAUAGUUAGCUUGUCUGUUACAACUAAGCCUUAAGUCAGCUGAGAUCGUUGUUUGAUUACGUGUGAUGCCAUGGACUUAAUCAGAUGGUACGACCUCCACUAUUUCUAGCCACAUCCAUAAGCCAGCUGCGUGCAUGGUGUUUAAAGCAAAAGGAAUAAGAACACGACCAUUCGGCCCCAUAGCUACAGGUAGGCAAAAUUGAAGAAACCGCAAUUUGGACUUCUAUAGCAUCCCAAAUGACAGCUCCAUAGCUAUUCAUUGAUGAGGUGUUGAAGUGUAUGCCAAACUGACUAAGCGCACAACAGCUUUCUUCGUAAUGGAGGGUAACAAAAAGCGUGUCUUUGCUAAAGAGUGGCGCAGCUGUAGGCCGCGGGCUUGGUUGUGAGCAUGCUUAUUGCAAAAGAGCAGGACAAGGGUAUUGGCCAAUACAUCCGUAUCAACAACAACUUUUAAUUUAUCAUUUAUAGAUUGUCAAUGAGAAACCCUAAAUAUUUGGCUGAUAUAUUUCAAUGGAAUUAUCCCAGAAGUUAUUUCCAUAGAACAUUCAUCCAUAAGAGACAAGAGUAUUUUUUAGGAAAAAGAUUUCCAUAGAACAUUUCCAUAGGGCAUUAAACGAACAAAGGUGUUCGUUUAAUGUCCCCCUAACUACUGCAUAUAAGAUAAGCAUUUCUGUCAACCGUUAGAAAAACCCAAACGAUAUCAUGCCAAAGUUAACAAUGUAUGGUCUCACAACCGGAAUUCUGGGAACCUCAUAAUAUUUGAGGAAUUCGUUUGGUUUUGGCAUGUGACUUCUGCAGAACAAUACCUUCCCACUAUACCAGACAGACAUCAUUCAAAGCGUAUUUAGGCGCUUGUUAUCAGGAAAAUGGACGAGAAAUUUUUCAUACACCAGACACCAACCCACCCCGUUAAUCCAUUUUUGAGCUAGUCAAAGCUGUAAACAUCGUCGUAUAAUGCAUUUUAAAGGUGUUCUAAUGUAUUGUUCAGUUACACAGCAGGUUUAAUUACAGGCCUACAAUCUCUCUAUCUCUACACUUUAAUGACACACAGUUGUGUAUUCUAUGAUUAUAGUUCUCCCAAUCCAAAUAUUUUA
ensembl:lncRNA